rnacentral:rRNA from 1 species
AGUGAACGCUGGCGGUAGGCCUAACACAUGCAAGUCGAACGGCAGCACAGUAAGAGCUUGCUCUUACGGGUGGCGAGUGGCGGACGGGUGAGGAAUACAUCGGAAUCUACUUUUUCGUGGGGGAUAACGUAGGGAAACUUACGCUAAUACCGCAUGCGACCUACGGGUGAAAGCAGGGGAUCUUCGGACCUUGCGCGAUUGAAUGAGCCGAUGUCGGAUUAGCUAGUUGGCGGGGUAAAGGCCCACCAAGGCGACGAUCCGUAGCUGGUCUGAGAGGAUGAUCAGCCACACUGGAACUGAGACACGGUCCAGACUCCUACGGGAGGCAGCAGUGGGGAAUAUUGGACAAUGGGCGAAAGCCUGAUCCAGCAAUACCGCGUGGGUGAAGAAGGCCUUCGGGUUGUAAAGCCCUUUUGUUGGGAAAGAAAAGCAGCAGGUUAAUACCCCGCUGUUCUGACGGUACCCAAAGAAUAAGCACCGGCUAACUUCGUG